UACAGGGGGGGCAAGCGUUGUUCGGAAUUACUGGGCGUAAAGGGCUCGUAGGUGGCCAACUAAGUCAGACGUGAAAUCCCCAGGCUCAACUUGGGAACUGCGUCUGAUACUGGAUGGCUUGAAUUCGGGAGAGGGAUGCAGAAUUCCAGGUGUAGCGGUGAAAUGCGUAGAUAUCUGGAGGAAUACCGGUGGCGAAGGCGGCAUCCUGGACCGAUAUUGACACUGAUGAGCGAAAGCUAGGGGAGCAAACGGG
rnacentral:rRNA from 1 species